rnacentral:rRNA from 1 species
CCUACGGGAGGCUGCAGUGGGGAAUAUUGCGCAAUGGGCGAAAGCCUGACCCAGCGACGCCGCGUGAGGGAUGACGGUCCUCUGAUUGUAAACCUCCGUUAGUAGGGAAGAACGGUCACUGUGCUAAUCAGCAGUGAAUUGACCGUACCUGCAAAGGAAGCACCGGCUAACACCGUGACAGCAGCCGCGGUAAUACGGAGGGUGCGAGCGGUAAUCGGAAUGACUGGGCGUAAGGCGCUCGUAGGCGGUAUGUCAAGUCAAGGGUGAAAUCCCCGCGCUCAACGUGGGAACUGCCUUUGAAACUGGCAAACUGGAGAGUGUGAGAGGAUGGUGGAAUUCCAGGUGUAGGAGUGAAAUCCGUAGAUAUCUGGAGGAACAUCAGUGGCGAAGGCGACUAUCUGGCACAUAACUGACGCUGAGGAGCGAAAGCGUGGGUAGCAAACAGGAUUAGAUACCCGUGUAGUC